CCCUGUGAUUCCUACAAACCAGAAAUUAGAACUAUUUUGGGGGCAAGCAGCACCCACUGUGAAGGAGCCUGUCAGGCACCACGUGAUGUGAGGA